rnacentral:rRNA from 1 species
AUUGAACGCUGGCGGCAGGCCUAACACAUGCAAGUCGAGCGGAUGAGAGGAGCUUGCUUCUCGUUUCAGCGGCGGACGGGUGAGUAAUGCCUAGGAAUCUGCCUGGUAGUGAGGGACAACGUGUCGAAAGGAACGCUAAUACCGCAUACGUCCUACGGCAGAAAGCAGGGCCCCUUCGGGCCUUGCGCUAUCAGAUGAGCCUAGGUCGGAUUAGAUAGUUGGUGAGGUAAUGGCUCACCAAGGCGACGAUCCGUAACUGGUCUGAGAGGAUGAUCAGUCACACUGGAACUGAGACACGGUCCAGACUCCUACGGGAGGCAGCAGUGGGGAAUAUUGGACAAUGGGCGAAAGCCUGAUCCAGCCAUGCCGCGUGUGUGAAGAAGGUCUUCGGAUUGUAAAGCACUUUAAGUUGGGAGGAAGGGUUGUAGAUUAAUACUCUGCAAUUUUGACGUUACCGACAGAAUAAGCACCGGCUAACUCUGUGCCAGCAGCCGCAGUAACAC